AGGAAUAUUGGUCAAUGGACGAGAGUCUGAACCAGCCAAGUAGCGUGAAGGAUGACUGCCCUAUGGGUUGUAAACUUCUUUUAUAUGGGAAUAAAACAGGGUAUGCAUACCCUCUUGUAUGUACCAUAUGAAUAAGGAUCGGCUAACUCCGUGCCAGCAGCCGCGGUAAUACGGGGGAUGCAAGCGUUAUCCGGAUUUAUUGGGUUUAAAGGGUGCGUAGGCUGUGAGGUAAGUCAGCGGUGAAAUGCCCCCGCUCAACGGGGUGAAGUGCCAUUGAUACUGCCUUGCUGGAAUGCGGAUGCCGUGGGAGGAAUGUGUGGUGUAGCGGUGAAAUGCAUAGAUAUCACACAGAACACCGAUUGCGAAGGCAUCUCACGAAUCCGCGAUUGACGCUGAUGCACGAAAGCGUGGGUAUCAAACAGG
rnacentral:rRNA from 1 species